AGAGUUGUGGCUCAAUGGUAGAGCACUUGCCUUCUAUGUGUGGGGCACUGAGUUUGAUCCUCAGCAUCACAU
rnacentral:tRNA from 1 species